UAAGGAAUUCCUCCCCAGCUGACGUCAAAGCUUCACCUCUCCUCCCUGUGGCACAAAGGGGGCUCUUAUGAGCCUCUCCAGCCCUGCUUGGAGAAUAUCAAUGCAAGCAGCUGAAACCCAACCUGCUGCUUGCCCCCCAAGCUGUCCUCUCCUCCACUUCACCCUGAUGCAUUCAGGCUGGUACCUACCUGGUGGCCAAAAUACUCCCAGCUGUGCCCAGGUCAGAAGCGAUGCACCCCUCCCUGGGACCCCAUGCACCAAAGCAGCCCUGCACAUGAGGCUGGCAGAGCAGGACAGCUGCUAAAGGCCAAAUUCUCAGCUGAGGCAAACUGGUUCAGUGCCUCCGAAGUUGGUGGAGUGGCACCCAUUUGCACCAGAAGAGGAUCUGACUGUGGAUAGAUCUUAAUCUAUAUUUAUACAUAUAUAUAUGUAUGUGUGUGUGUGUAGAUAUAUUACAUAAAUAUAUAGGUCUGAAAUAAUUUAAGAAACA